rnacentral:lncRNA from 1 species
CUUGUCCACGGCCACGCAGCUGGCAGGGGUCAGGGCUGAACCUGGGUGAUGGCUGGACCCUAAAUCCAGGGCUCCGUGGGUCUGCCACCUGCCUCUAAGAAGGCGGUCUUUCCUAGCUAUCACUUAAUUUUUUCCAGAAGGGCCGCAGGCCUUCCUGUCCUGUUCCCAGAACAGGCUGCUGCUCCAGGGGGACAGAAGGGCCAUGGAGGCAGUCCUCAUAGGGGGCUUGUGUGAUGGUGGAGGGACCUGGGAUCCUCCCCGGGGCAGGGCCUCGCCGCGGCUUGCCUGCUGGGGGUUAAAGCUGUCAGUGGCAAAGGACCCGUCUUCCCAGCCGCAGUGGCAGCUGCUCUUCCUGGACCAGCCCCGCGGGGGGCUUUGGCGCAUCCCCCACCCCAGCCCCAGCUCAGCACCCUGACCUGCCCAAAGCUGAGGAAAGAAGGAAGAAGAUGUGCCAGGGCCGCUUUCGAAGCUGGGGUGGCCGUCCAUGCACACAGGCGGCGAGGCUGUGCCCUCCCGGGGCCCAGACUCCACAGCGGGCGCAGCCAGCAUCGCUUCCCUGCCGCCUCUGCAGCCGCCUCCCCUCUCGGGCCUGGGCCUGGCAUGGGAGGGGUUAAGCCGCCGCGGGCACCUUGGCACGUCGUGCUGCCCAGAACGUCCGGCUCCCCACCCCCACCCGCUUUUCUUCCUUUUUGCCUUUUUCCUUCUUAAUUAAUCAUACGCUGCUGCCCAAUUUAAAUAUGGAAAUACCCAGGCCAGGCGAUGCAAUUAUUCCCAAGGCCAGGCGGGCCGUCCGGGCCCUCGGCUGCGGGAAGUAGGGUGGCAUCGUCCCCUUUCUGGUGUGUGUGAAAUUAUGUGCACAAAAGACGUCUCCUUAUCUGAGUGUGUGAACUAAAUAAAUAAAUAAGGGCUUUUGUUUGUUUGCCGGCUCCUGUACACGACUGUUUUGACUAAACCGCCCGUGUUGUCUGUGCCUUUAUGGGACUCAGGAGACAGGAGGCAGGGGGAGGCCUGGGGGGUGGGGGCGGCCGCCGGGCAUCUGGGCCUCUCCCUCCCCUGGCACCACCGCACCCCGCACCCCUCCCACACACACCCUCGCCGGAAAGUUCCCCAGCCCAGGCCGGGCUCCCAGGCAGCUUGGCACCGUGCCAGGCUCGCCGCCGAGCGCGGGCAGCCGGGUGGGGCGAGCGGCGGCGGCACCGAGGACAUGGCCGGGCGCCCUGGGCGCGAGCAGGACCCAAGGCCGGGAGGCCGGGGCCCAGAAGCUCCAGGUGUGCGUUGAGAAGGUUUUUCCCAGCACAAGCAGUUUCCCAGUGA